AAUUUCUUGUAGGCUUUGUGGACCAAGGGGAUUAGCACUGCUUUCCCAAGACAGGUUAUGUGAUUAUGAUCUUCAGGCUUUGCCUAUCCAGGUUGAGCAGUUGAUGGAAUGGAAUGAUGUUGAGCGGGUGUUCCUUUGACAUUUCAAGAAAUGUAACCUUGAGUAUACAUCUUCAUAUGUAUAUCUCACACGUUUUCCGCUGCAAAACACUUUGAUUAGGAUAGCUCUAUGAUAUGAAGUUGUGAUACGUGUUAUUGGGUAACCACCUUAAUCAGUUCUCUUUUAUGUGUAUGUUUUAUAAGUAUCCAAAUGAUCAUAUAUGAUCCUAGCUUUUUAUCUAUAAGUGAUAUUUUCAUA